rnacentral:rRNA from 1 species
UACGUAGCAGCAAGCGUUGUUCGGGAUUAUUGGGCGUAAAGAGUGUGUAGGCGGUUUUCUAAGUUUGGUGUGAAAUCUCCCGGCUUAACUGGGAGGGUGCGCCGAAAACUGGAAGGCUUGAGUGUCGGAGAGGAUAGCGGAAUUCCUGGUGUAGCGGUGAAAUGCGUAGAUAUCAGGAGGAACACCUGCGGUGUAGACGGCUAUCUGGACGGCCACUGACGCUGAGACACGAAAGCGUGGGUAGC